CCUACGGGAGGCAGCAGUGGGGAAUAUUGCGCAAUGGGCGAAAGCCUGACGCAGCGACGCCGCGUGCAGGAUGAAGGUCUUCGGAUCGUAAACCUCUGUCAGCAGGGAAGAACGGUCACUUUGCUAAUCAGCAGUGCAUUUACGGUACCUGCAAAGGCAGCACCGUCUAACUCCGUGCCAGCAGCCGCGGUAAUACGGAGGGUGCGAGCGUUAAUCGGAAUUACUGGGCGUAAGGCGCGCGUAGGCGGUAUGUCAAGUCAAGGGUGAAAUCCCCGCGCUCAACGUGGGACCUGCCUUUGAAACUGGCAAACUGGAGUGUGCGAGAGGAUGGUGGAAUUCCAGGUGUAGGAGUGAAAUCCGUAGAUA
rnacentral:rRNA from 1 species